rnacentral:piRNA from 1 species
AAUCUCAAGAAAACUCCUCUAGA